AUGUGUUCAAGUUGGAUGCAGGUGACAUUUCUCCUUGCACACUUGAUUGUUGCAGGAGCAGUGGUAUACCAGUACCCAGGGUCACUAACAGUGGCAGAGGGUACCAAUGUGACAUUUUACUGUGACAUCAGUGAAAUGGGAGGGGAAUGCUCUUAUAUUGUAUGGGUGCAUGUGGGACCUAUGAGAAAGCUCACACUCUGGCCUCGAAAAACCUACAGUGUCCACACCAACACGGCUUGCCUCCUGAACAUCAUCAAUGCCAACAGGACAAGUGUGGGCAUCUUCUACUGUGCCCUGCUUAACGGUGCCAUGCUGAACAUGGGCAAUGGGAGUGUGCUGGAAAUCUCUGACCCUAUCACCUCUGACGUUACUCUGGAGGUCCUGGUGCCUGUGGACUGGCAGGAGGCCCCCUCAUCCCCAGUCCCACUCCUGUGCCUGGUGUCUGGACUGGAUCCCAGUCAGGCCAGGGUGUACUGGGAGGUGGAGGGGAAGGUUCAGUCCUCAGAGCGUUUACCUGAGGUUCAGUCAGAGAAGCCAGCCAGUGUCAGAGUCCAGCUCUCUGUACCUGGCCAUACCUGGGCUGAAGGUGAAGAGAUCACCUGUGUUAUGGAGAGUACCAGUGGGGUGAAGAUGAACAAGACAGUCAGCAGGAUGGGAAUGGAGAGGUCUAGACAGGGAAUGUUUCUGGCCAUCUCUUUGGGCAGCAUGUGUAUCCUUCUUUCUAUUGUGGUGAUUAUCAUCACCUUGUAUGUCUGCAGACUGAGACACGACCCUCGAAAGAAAAUAUUUCAACCCUACAAGCACAACCAGGACGGAGCACAGGGUCUGACUGAGGUGCAAUAUGCCAGUUUAAAGUUUGGAGCUGUUAGUGGCAGACCCUUACCUGCAGCUAAAAACAGACAAUAUAAGUAGGCUAAAGCUGCCCUAGUAAGACCUUACAUGUGAAUUAAAUUUUCUCCAAAAACAUAAAAGAAGUGCUUAUUCAUUCAGGGUCAUCGGUUUGUCAAAAUGCUCCUGUGCUUUCUUGCUUAUGUUUUCUGACCUACUUAUUUGAGUCAAUGAUGUAAGGAUUUUUGCCUUUAGAAUAAGGAACUUAUGUAGUCAGAUUGUGUAGUCAUUUUACAAGCUUUGUGAUUAGAAAUCAUUUGUCUUGUUGAAAUAAUAGCCAAAUGUAAAUUACAUUAAAGACAAAUACAAGUUUAAUUUAUGGAGUGAACUAAUUUCUCUAGUCAUAUGCUGAUGAGAUUUUUGUGAUAAUAGUCAGCAAUAAAAAUGGGUCACAGAUGGAAUCUUUUUAAUCUCCAACAUAAAUCGUACAUCCUGUUUGUUUCACAUAAUGCUCAGCAAGUACAACAGCACAGCUCCAUUUGAUGGUAAGCAAUUUUGUCCUCUUAGUAUUUCAAAAUAUCUCACAAGUUAGGUGCGUUCUAUUACUUAAAUGAUGGAGCAUCUUUCAUCUCUGUGAUGUUGCAACACAAACCCACAGAUUUACAUAAUUUUUACCCAAACACAGAUGGUGUUUGACCUUAAGCUAUUUGAAAGUGGAAAUAAUUGAUGUAUUAUCUAUUUAUUUAACCUUUAUUUAACUAGGCAAGUCAGUUAAGAACAAAUUCUUAUUUACAAUUACAGCCUAGGAACAGUGGGUUAAUUGCCUUGUUCAGGGGCAGAACGACAGAUUUUUACCUUGUCAGUUUGGGGAUUUGAUCUAGCAACCUUUCGGUUAUUGGCCCAACGCUCUAACCACGAGGCUACCUGCCGCCCCAAUCUAUACAGUAUUCAUAUUCUGUAUUAUUAGUUUAUAGUUCCCAUACACACUAGCUGUAAAUCAAUAAUUUUUAUUGUAGGCUGUGCCAGUUUCCUUCACUUGACACAUCAUUAUGUUGCAGUCACUGUCCACCAGAAGGUAGUAAAGAGGUGUAACUUAGUUUCUGUUUAAAUGCUCCCUGAGUAAGCAGAGGCCAUUCAACCCUCCAGGUGCCAUAGCAGUCCAUAAACCAGAAACCUGGACAUUUUGACUGCCAUUGUAAAACAUUGGAGUUUUAGAAACUGACCAGUAUAUAGACUGCUCUAAAAUACUUUAUCUAAGUCCCCCUUUUCUCUUCAAAAGAUCAACCAGCUGCUUUCACAUUAGACUUUCUUAAAGUAAUUCAUGUCAGAUUGAGGGGUAAGUGUUGACACUGAGCAUAUAUGUAGACUGAUAAUCAGUGUAUAGGAUCAUGGGAGGAAAAUUGAGGGGAAUUGGGGAGAGGGGUUAACAUUUCUCAAUGUAUGCAGGGACUAGAUGUGGAACCAUUGUAAGGAAGGAAGGAAUGGUGAUAUUUGGCUCCUGCCCCCUUCCCCCCGUCUUGAUAGGAAUGCGUGAACUCCUUUCCUCCUGCUCGGUUUGAUGAUGUCAUGGCUUGUGCAUGUCCCUUUGGCACGGACUCUGCCAGCUGCUGAGCUGAGUUUGUUGCAAAACAGACACAGCAUUAUUUCCAUGUUUAAGAGCUCCGUCGGGUGGGUUAAAACAUUGCCUUUAGGUGGAUCAUUCUUCUCUGUCUUCUCCUUCUUUCAAUGCUUACAUUGUAGGUAGACCUGUUGACAUUAAUCUUUAGUGAGUGAAAGAAAGUAAAACAGAAGCAUUUGAUAUAGAUUAUACAGUAGUUUCAUUCAUAUUUUAUAUUCUGCCCUAUGGAUAGACAGGUUGAGUUCAAAGUUCUUGUUACACUACCACUUGUAAGAACAUAUAGAGGUAUGAAUUAUCCCUUGCGUGAGUUUCUUUCAUUUUCCACAGAUAUCAAAAGUACAAAAUAUUGCACUUUAACGGUUAAAGUGCAAUAUUCCAGCAUUAAUCUUCCU
rnacentral:lncRNA from 8 species